GGUGUGCUACCGUUGAGUUUCGAAAAGCCGCCAAAAUGUCGGAGCUCUCGUGUCAUCGAUGGCUUCAUUCGCAUAACAAACGCGCGAAGUGCAGCUCACGACUUCUCUCCACUCUCCUCAACGUAAAGCAUGAGAUUCGCAUGUCUACGCGACAAAGGAGCCAGCUGUAAUUUGCACCGCUACGAGCAUUUACGAAAGACGCAAGCUCCUCACGAAAAUUCCGUCUGUGUUCAGCGUGAUAAAUUGUUUGGGUUAGUCGACCAGCAGAGCGCUUUUCCUUUUCCGUUGUUUGCCAAAGGCUAAUGAAACUAAUGAAGUCUCGAAUAUCGCUGAAGACAAUAGUUUGCCUGUUUCGUUGGCGUUGCUGUAGGAUCGUUGUUCAUUACGUAUGCACCAAUGUUGCGUAUUCUCAUCGGCCAGAAGUACCGCCAAGAAAGACUUGGUGUCGCUGCGAGAGCUCAAGUGAGAGCUGUACACAGCACAUUGGACUUCAGGCAGUAAAAGCGAAACUAUUACGGUGGCGUUUGUCGUCUGCGGGAUGCAGGCUGACCUUGCAGUGGUCGCUAUCAAGUCCGUGAUCGCUUACUCAACGUCGCCGCUACAUCUCAUUAUCCUUGCUGACAAGGAGAGCGAGGUGGAUAUGAAGAA